GACGAACGCUGGCGGCGUGCUUAACACAUGCAAGUCGAACGGAAAGGCCCUGCAUUUGUGGGGUGCUCGAGUGGCGAACGGGUGAGUAACACGUGAGUAACCUGCCCUUGACUUUGGGAUAACUUCACGAAACUGGGGCUAAUACCGGAUAGGAGCUCCUGCUGCAUGGUGGGGGUUGGAAAGUUUCGGCGGUUGGGGAUGGACUCGCGGCUUAUCAGCUUGUUGGUGGGGUAGUGGCUUACCAAGGCUUUGACGGGUAGCCGGCCUGAGAGGGUGACCGGCCACAUUGGGACUGAGAUACGGCCCAGACUCCAACGGGAGGCAGCGGUGGGGAAUAUUGCACAAUAGGCGGGAGCCUGAUGCAGCGACGCCGCGUGCGGGAUAACGGCCUUCGGGUUGUAAACCACUUUCGCCUGUGACGAAGCGUGAGUGACGGUAAUGGGUAAAGAAGCACCGGCUAACUACGUG
rnacentral:rRNA from 1 species